CACAAGCACCUCAGGAUGCGAAAACUGCGUCAUAAAUUCAAUGUGUCUAUGUGAAAAGCACAUGUCCUUCUGAAAAAAAAAAAGAUACUGUAUUUAGCUUAUUAUGAGGUUUAACUUUUGUAUACUGUAACUAUUUUGAAGCUCGAGUUUACCAUUCAUAUAAAACAUCUUCCAUAUUUAAAAUAAUCGUAUUAAUCAGUGCAUGAAAUUUCCUACCUAAAACUCAUUUGAAUGAUUAUUCCUUUCCCCAAAGAAAUGAAUUUGGUAAUAAUAUUUGGAGAGGCAUCUGACCUCCAAAUGCUAUCCAUAGUUGUAUUCAUGGUUAUUUUUUUUAAGUGUGACUCCCUCCCCGCCACC